GGGUUGUGAGGUUAAGCGACUAAGCGUACACGGUGGAUGCCCUGGCAGUCAGAGGCGAUGAAGGGCGUGCUAAUCUGCGAUAAGCGCCGGUAAGGUGAUAUGAACCGUUAUAACCGGCGAUACCCGAAUGGGGAAACCCAGUGUGACUCGUCACACUAUCAUUAACUGAAUCCAUAGGUUAAUGAGGCGAACCGGGGGAACUGAAACAUCUAAGUACCCCGAGGAAAAGAAAUCAACCGAGAUUCCCCCAGUAGCGGCGAGCGAACGGGGAGGAGCCCAGAGCCUGAAUCAGCAUGUGUGUUAGUGGAAGCGUCUGGAAAGGCGCGCGAUACAGGGUGACAGCCCCGUACACAAAAGCGCAUGUGCUGUGAGCUCGAUGAGUAGGGCGGGACACGUGGUAUCCUGUCUGAAUAUGGGGGGACCAUCCUCCAAGGCUAAAUACUCCUGACUGACCGAUAGUGAACCAGUACCGUGAGGGAAAGGCGAAAAGAACCCCGGCGAGGGGAGUGAAAAAGAACCUGAAACCGUGUACGUACAAGCAGUGGGAGCACAGGUUUACCUGUGUGACUGCGUACCUUU
rnacentral:rRNA from 1 species